UUAUGUUAAGUUACUAAGAGCUGCUGGUGGAUGCCUUGGCAUCGAACAGGCGAUGAAGGACGCGCGUACCUGCGAUAAUCCUCGGUGAGCUGGAAAGAAGCGAAGACCCGGGGGAUUCCGAAUGGGGCAACCCAAUGGGAUUAACACCCCAUUAUCUUUACCUGAAUAAAUAGGGUAUAGAGGCGAGACCUGCCGAACUGAGACAUCUAAGUAGGUAGAGGAAAAGAAAUCAAAGAGAUUCCCUGAGUAGCGGCGAGCGAAAUGGGAAGAGCCCAAACCAAAGACGUAGUUUUUGGGGUUGUAGGACCAGUCAAAGGAUUGGAGAUUGUUAGUCGAACACAUCUGGAAAGUUGGAUGACACAGGGUGAUAGUCCCGUAGACGAAAGCAAGAUCCGACAGGAUUGGCACCUGAGUAGGGCCGGACACGUGAAACCCGGUCUGAAUCUGGGGAGACCACUCUCCAAGGCUAAAUACUCGUUGAUGACCGAUAGUGAACCAGUACCGUGAGGGAAAGGCGAAAAGAACCCCUGUGAGGGGAGUGAAAUAGAACCUGAAACCAGCAGCUUACAAGCGGUCGGAGGCCUAUGAGCACUAAGUGCUAAUGGCUGACGGCG
rnacentral:rRNA from 1 species